AUGCUCUUAGCUCAUCCGAGUCGUCGGCAACCACUCAGCGGUUGAACUUUCGCUUCACAAGCGAUAGGUCGGUGGCUCGAUCCCACCAGGGCGUC
rnacentral:tRNA from 1 species